rnacentral:rRNA from 1 species
GAUGAACGCUAGCUACAGGCUUAACACAUGCAAGUCGAGGGGAAACGGCAUCGAAAGCUUGCUUUUGAUGGGCGUCGACCGGCGCACGGGUGAGUAACGCGUAUCCAACCUGCCCAUCACUUGGGAAUAACCUUGCGAAAGUAAGACUAAUGCCCAAUGACAUCCCACGAAGGCAUCCGAAUGGGAUUAAAGAUUUAUCGGUGAUGGAUGGGGAUGCGUCUGAUUAGCUUGUUGGCGGGGUGACGGCCCACCAAGGCAACGAUCAGUAGGGGUUCUGAGAGGAAGGUCCCCCACAUUGGAACUGAGACACGGUCCAAACUCCUACGGGAGGCAGCAGUGAGGAAUAUUGGUCAAUGGGCGAGAGCCUGAACCAGCCAAGUAGCGUGCAGGAUGACGGCCCUAUGGGUUGUAAACUGCUUUUAUAAGGGAAUAAAGUGGGUACGUGUGACUUUUUGCAUGUACCUUAUGAAUAAGGACCGGCUAAUUCCGUG